UCUACUACACAGAGAGCAUAUGAAAAUGUAUAUAAAGGUGAAGAAAAGGUAUAUAAAAUAAACAGAUGAAAAGCAGAACCAUGAGUCUGAUGGUGAAAGACAGAAGAAGUUCACUUUUCUGAUAGUGGUUUCCUAAGUCAGCUGACAUAAGAUAUGUGUCAAGACUCAUGAAAUUUCCUUGAAAUAGGAAAAGUAUCGAGAGCCCAGUAGGGAACUUCGAGAGCCGUGGUGAGGGUUACCUGCACACAGGAAUGCGAGGGUCAUCGCUUCUUCCAGGACUCUGCUUACUGCUAAGCCUUUCAGGAGUCAUGGCUCAGAAAACUAAAGGGACCUGUACCCAUUGCCCCCAGAAUGCUUUCUGUGUCAAUGCUACUCACUGUACCUGCAACCAUGGAUACAAUUCUGAAUCCAAGGAGAAAUACUUCAGCUACCGCUUUGAGAGAUGUGAAGAUGUUGAUGAAUGUAAACCACCCUUUAGUGUAUAUUGUGGAGUGAAUGCUGAGUGUCAGAACAUCAUUGGAAGUUUCUACUGUCACUGUAUUGCUGGAUAUAAACUCCUCUCUGGGAAAGCACAAUUCAACAAUUCCAAUGAGAACACUUGUCAGAAAAUCACCCCGUCAAAGACAACCAACAGCACAAAAGAGAUGCAAUCGGUUGUUGAGAAUAUCGAAUCUCAUCUCACCGAUAAGACCGUAUUGGGAGCGGGGAGAAACGUCACAUCCACGGUCACAGCCUUUCUCCAGAAAACGGAAUCAGAUGUUCUAAAAACUGCCUUGAAAGCCCCAGACCAGAAAAUCCAGAAAGUCCAAUACAACACCGUGGCUGUUGAAACUCGAGUUGUUACAGACAACUGCUCCAAGGGAGUCAUCUUAAGCUUGAACGCCCAAGUGAACUCCAUGGAAAUCCAUUGCAAUGAUGUCAUCCAGAGAAACAUACAAGGUACUGGUGCAGUUGCCUUCAUUUCAUACUCUUCUCUUGGAAACAUCAUAAAUGCAACUUUUUUUGAAGAGAUGAAUGAGAAAGAUCAAGUUUACCUGAACUCACAGGUAGUAAGUGCUGCUAUUGAACCCAAAAAGAACACACCUCUCUCCAAGCCUGUGAUUCUAAAUUUUCAGCACAUGAAGGUGAAGCCCAGGGUCAAGAAGACCUUCUGCGUCUACUGGAAAGACACAAAGGAGGGCGGCCGCUGGUCCAAGGAUGGCUGUGCUCUGAGACAAGUGAACAAGACUCACACGAUAUGCAGCUCCACUCACCUGUCCAGUUUCGCUGUUCUCAUGGCCUUUCAUGGCCAGGAGGAGGAUCCCGCACUGACUGUGAUCACCUACGUGGGGCUGAGCCUCUCCCUGCUCUGCCUCCUCCUGGCGGCCCUCACCUUCCUGCUGUGCAAAGCCAUCCAGAACACCAGCACCUCGCUCCACCUGCAGCUCUCGCUCUGCCUCUUCGUGGCCCACCUGCUCUUCCUCACAGCCAUCGACAGAACUGAGAACAAGGUGCUGUGCGCCAUCAUCGCAGGUGCCUUACACUAUCUCUACCUGGCCUCCUUCACCUGGAUGCUGCUGGAGGGUCUGUACCUCUUCCUCACUGCACGCAACCUGACAGUGGUCAACUACUCCAGUAUCAACAGACUCAUGAAGUGGCUUAUGUUCCCAGUGGGCUAUGGAGUCCCAGCUGUGAUUGUGGCCAUUUCUGCAGCCUCCAGGCCUCAUCUUUAUGGAACACCUGAUCGAUGCUGGCUUCACCUGGACCAGAAAUUCAUCUGGGCUUUCCUUGGACCUGUCUGUGCCAUUAUCUGUGUGAAUUUUGUAUUUUUUGUCAUGGUCUUUUGGAUUUUGAAAAGAAAACUUUCCUCUCUCAACAGUGAAGUGUCAACCAUCCGGAACGUAAAAGACACAGAUGCGCAGUCAGCCUCUAGGAUCACUGCCGCCUUCCACUGCCACAAUGAGAAGCUAUAUUCAAUUGCUGGGACUCAGAAAAAGAAAGAUGCUGACACUCAAAGCCACAGCUCAGCUCUUCAUCUUGGGAUGCACGUGGUUUCUGGGACUCCUGCAGGUGGGACCGGCUGCCCACGUCAUGGCCUACCUCUUCACCAUCAUCAACAGCCUGCAGGGCGUCUUCAUCUUCCUGGUGUACUGUCUCCUCAGCCAGCAGGUCCAAAAGUGGUUUGGCGAGAUCAUCAAAUCUAAAUCUGAGUCUGAGGCUUACACACUUUCCAGCAGGUUUGGUGCUGACUCAAAACCCAGUGAGGCCAAGUGAAGAGAAGAUACUAUAACUAGAACAUUCAGCUCUACACGUCAUGCAUGUGGAUCUGGUUGGUAUCACGAAGAAUGAAGGUGCAGACAAGGAGAAUCAUUAUACAUGUCAUUACUGGAGAGGAAAAGUUUGACCUUUACUUCCUGAAGUGUUUGUUCUGCAUAAUGGAAUCUCAAUAAAUGUGCAUUCAAUUGGA